UACAGAGGUCUCGAGCGUUGUUCGGAUUCAUUGGGCGUAAAGGGUGCGUAGGUGGCGCUGUAAGUCGGGUGUGAAAUCCUGGGACUUAACCCCGGAACUGCAUUCGAUACUGCAGUGCUUGAGGACUGGAGAGGAGACUGGAAUUCAUGGUGUAGCAGUGAAAUGCGUAGAGAUCAUGAGGAAGACCAGUGGCGAAGGCGGGUCUCUGGACAGUUCCUGACACUGAGGCACGAAGGCCAGGGGAGCAAACGGG
rnacentral:rRNA from 1 species